CCCAAACCUGAACAGGCAUAUCUUUAUGGAUUCAAACCCACUCAAAAUUACCAUUUCAGAAUAUUUAAUUGUUUGUUUUGUUCCAUAAAGAAUGUCUGUUUUUACUGACCAGUGUGAUCUCUGUCAGGGAGAAAAUGGUGAGGCUGGUAACCCAGGACCACCUGGAGAACCAGGAACUGGAGGGCCUAAAGGGGAGAGGGGCGAGAAGGGAGAAGCAGGACCACCUGGAGCUGCUGGGCCAGCUGGUCCCAAGGGACCCCCUGGUGAAGAUGGCCCCAAGGGUAACCCUGUGAGUCACCACAUACAUCUGUGUGGGGUUUUAUUUCAAAAGCGAAAUGACAAGUGGUUUAUGCAAUUAUGUCAUUUACACUUUUUUAUUAUCUUUGUCCAUUUAAGGGUCCAGUUGGAUUUCCUGGAGACCCAGGUCCCCCUGGUGAGCCAGGAAUCGCUGGCACUGAUGGCACGUCAGGUGAGAAGGGAGAAAACGGAGAGCCUGGUCAGCCUGUAAGUUUAUUAUUAUUUUCACUCCAAGAUACUGUGUACUUCCACCCCCACACUUCAUACUUUCAUAUUGAAAUUUGAAAUUUCAUAUUGAAAUUAAAUCUGAAAACAUUUUAACCGAAUGGUAGCCACAAUAACAUGAUGCACUUUUGAAGACAUUACAGGAGGUCCCGCAAACCCAUACGUUCCGCAAAACCCAUCAUAAAUCGAAAAUUUUGUAAGUCGAAAAUGCAUGUAAUACACCUAACCUCCCGAACAUCAUAGCCUAGCAUGCGUGCAAUGGCCAUUACAGGCUUGCCACCUUCGUGCUGAGCAAUUAUCUUGAGUUUCUCCUCAAGAGUAAUUGCCCUCCUCUUCUUCUUCCCGCCAGUAGCAGGAGACACAGAUGGGCGUUUCUGUGACAUUAUUGAUGCACAAAACACAACAUAGAUACAGGGGGGUAUCUGUACAGCAACUGCAUGGCAGGCUGGGAGAAGCGGAUUGCUGCUGCUGCCAAGCAUCACGAGAGAGUAUCGCACCCCACAUCGCUUUCCCGGGGGGGGGGGGGGGGGGAAUCAAAGUUCGAAGUACGGUUUCUACUGAAUGUCUAUGACCAGCUCACCAUCGUAAAGUCAAAAAAUCAUAAGUCUCAC
rnacentral:lncRNA from 1 species